UUGUUUUUUGUUGAUGGGGGAGUUGGCUUAGUUCGCCUCCCUUUGCCUUUCACUACUGUCAGACCUUUUAUGUUCUGCCUGUGGAUUCUGGGUCACUGUCAGAGAGACCGAGUGAGGGUGUGAGGGAAAUUUAAAUGUGCCUCUCCAAAGGCUGGGAGAGAAUAUUGAGUAGCCGGUUUUCUUUUUGGGGAAAAACCGAAUUUCUGCCCUAAUUACAGGAGUUUCAACCUAUCACUCCGGAAAACAUCUCUCCUUUACCGCCUGCCUGCGCUCUCGCUGUACUCUCCAGCCGAAGGCCUUCUCUUCGUUCGACACACACGAGGCGCCCGGGCGACGGCAGCCGCCGCUCCUCGAGAACAAAGGCGCUAUCUGCGCAGCAUCGGGCAGGCCGGCGGCGCGCCGUGACACUUUGGAACAGCCGAAGGAAAAGGAGGAGGGAGGCUCCCUCUUCACCGACGAGACCAAUUAGAGGGAGCAAAGUCUUCUAUCUGAGCCAAAUACUCCAGAUAGGGUGGGCAUGCAGCGGGGUGACGGACCCUCCAGGGGCGCUCAUGUCGAUUGGCUUAUCUGGGUGAGGGUGAGACACGUAGACGCGUCUCACUUCUUACUAUUACUCUGGUGUCUUAUUGGUGUUGUCGCAGCUCAUUAAUAACCAAUAAAUGACAAGCACAUGAAGCGAUAA